AAUGAAAAAAGCAUACAAUCAAAAAGGACAUUAACUCUGCAUCUCUUCUAACUAUUUUAUUUUUUCACAACUGCCACCAGUUUGGCACCAAAACAUUUACAACAAAGACCUAUUGACAUAGAGAAAUAAAUAAGUGUGUAAAAAAAAAAAAUACUUCAUGCUGUAACACCAGUGGUAUUCACUAAUUCUCCAUGCACUGUCAUUUACUAAUUGAUGAGAGCUAUUGAUAAGAGCUAGGUAAAUUAUCAAUCCGUUUGGAUAAGGGGAUUGUAAAUAUAAAUUAUAAAUAUAAAAUUGUUUUAGAUGCAUUUUACCUCAUGAUCUUUGGAGACAAAUGUGAAACCAGUCAUAUGGCAGCAAACUGAAGCAUAUCAACGUGACAGGUAGGCUGUGUGUGCCCCGUUCCCACACUGAAGCAUAUCAACGUGACAGGUAGGCUGUGUGUGCCCCGUUCCCACACUGAAGUAUAUCAACAUGACAGGUAGGCUGUGUGUGCCCCGUUCCCACACUGAAGUAUAUCAACAUGACAGGUAGGCUGUGUGUGCCCCGUUCCCACACUGAAGUAUAUCAACAUGACAGGUAGGCUGUGUGUGCCCCGUUCCCACACUGAAGUAUAUCAACAUGACAGGUAGGCUGUGUGUGCCCCGUUCCCACACUGAAGUAUAUCAACAUGACAGGUAGGCUGUGUGUGCCCCGUUCCCACACUGAAGUAUAUCAACAUGACAGGUAGGCUGUGUGUGCCCCGUUCCCACACUGAAGUAUAUCAACAUGACAGGUAGGCUGUGUGUGCCCCGUUCCCACACUGAAGUAUAUCAACAUGACAGGUAGGCUGUGUGUGCCCCGUUCCCACACUGAAGUAUAUCAACAUGACAGGUAGGCUGUGUGUGCCCCGUUCCCACACUGAAGUAUAUGAAAUGCUGUGCUUACAGAAUUUAAAUUGUACGGCCUUAUAACUUGCAGGGAUAAAUCUUGGAGACACAAGCCAAAUGAGAUGACAAGCCAAAUCCACGAAGAGUGACAGUUGGGCCAAAUUGAACCGUUGUGCACUCUAGAUGUUUAAAUUUCAGCCCUAUUGCUCAAAAGCAAUAAUAGAUCAUAUUUAACAUAUUACAAGUUGUUCAAUAACUAGUGACAUGUCGCCCACUUCAU